CCGGCCGAAUAUGGCAAAAAAACCACAUUCGGCCUUUCGGUGGAAUGAGUUAAAAGCAAGGCCGAAUAGUGGCGUAUGACGCAAUUUUUUUACGCGAUGACGCAAUCAAGCAACGUGCAGUGACACGGUGACGUUGUAACCCGGCGCCUUCGGAAAAAUGGCAGCAGUGUGGGGAUAUUUUAAAAUGUUAGAAAGUGACAAACGUAUUGCAGUUUGCAACGAAUGUUCAGCCAAACUGUCUCGAGGAGGUGCCUCAGCAAAGACCUUCAGCACUACUGCAGCAGCUGAAAGGAGAGCUGGUCACAGCACGAGAAUGCCCCCGUCCGUGGCCGACGUCUUUGAGAGGACGAAAAAGUUUGCGACUGACAGUGCCAAAGCAAACGGAAUUACAAAGAAGGCAGACGAGUACGAGUGCAACUGCUCAACACCUGGACCUGUCAGAAGUCCUCAUCCCCAGGAGUGACAAUCCUCUUACAUAUUGGAGGACCAAUCGAGACCGCUUUCCUGACUUAGCACAGAUGGCACGCAGGUACUUGUCUGCUCCAUGCACCUGCACAGACAGUGAGAGGCUGUUUAGUGCUGCGUCCAAUGUCCUUGAUGAGAGGAGGAACAGACUGACAUGUGACAAAGCAGAGAAGCUACUGUUCAUAAAGAAGAACCUGCCACUGUUCCUGAAGGAAUAGGCUAAGUAGACUUAUGCCAAAAUGACAAUAGUUCAUUUGUUAUUUGCACUUAGGUUUUUUCAAUGCACUUUAAUGCAUGUUUUUGUUGGAAUGUCUCCAGCAGGGGUCAGCAUAGGUUCAAUCACGGGCCAGAUUUCUUAACCUUUUUUGGGGGGCUUGACAUACAGGCACAGUUGUUAAAAUUGUUUUAUACAUAGUUAGAUUCCUUCUUUUUAUUCUGAAGCUGAAGUACUGUUAUUGACAAAUCUGUUCUGGCCUGGGAUAUGUUGUGUACCUGUAUAAGUGUAUGAGGUUACAAGCACACACUUAUUAAGAUUUACUUGAGCCUUCUGUUUAAAUUAUUAGCCUGUUGUGUAGACUACCUGUAUAAGUGUAUGACGUUAUAAGCACACACUUAUUGAGAUUUAGUCAGGCCUCUGUUUACAUUAUUAGCCUGUUGUGUAGGCUACCUGUAUACUUGUAUGAGGUUACAAGCACACGCUUAAUUGAGAUUUACUUGAGCCUUUUGUUUACAUUAUUAGCCUGUUGUGUGGUGGGCUACCUGUAUAAGUGUAAGAGGUUACAAGCACACACUUAUGGAGAUUUACUUGAGCCUUCUGUUUACAUUAUUAGCCUGUUGUGUAGGCUACCUGUAUAAGUGUAUGAAGUUACAAGCACACACUUAAUUGAGAUUUACUUGAGCCUUCUGUUUACAUUAUUAGCCUAUCUACUGUGGCUAAGCAGACUUUUGCCAAAAGGACAAUAAUUCAUUUGUUGUGGGUUUAUCCACUUUAAUGCACUUUAUUUUUUUUGGAAUGCAUGUUUUGUUUGAAGGCCUACUAUAAACGAAAAACGUUGUGCUUUUUUUGAAAAGCAAAGUCUACUGGAAUAUUAAAAA